CAUAAGAAAGCGUACAUUCCUCAGAACAGGUAUUAUUGUAGUGGAUUUGUGACUCUCCAGACAAUAUCUUCUCUACAACCUGGUUCGAGAUUAAAGCUUUCAGUU
rnacentral:snoRNA from 1 species